rnacentral:rRNA from 1 species
UACGAAGGGUGCUAGCGUUGCUCGGAAUCACUGGGCGUAAAGCGCACGUAGGCGGAUCUUUAAGUCAGGGGUGAAAUCCUGGAGCUCAACUCCAGAACUGCCUUUGAUACUGGGGAUCUCGAGUCCGGGAGAGGUGAGUGGAACUGCGAGUGUAGAGGUGAAAUUCGUAGAUAUUCGCAAGAACACCAGUGGCGAAGGCGGCUCACUGGCCCGGUACUGACGCUGAGGUGCGAAAGCGUGGGGAGCAAACAGG